rnacentral:sRNA from 1 species
GCCUCACGGAGCACAUUCUGAUAGGACUAA